UUUAUUAUUGUGUUAUCUUUCAGAGAAAAUCUUUACGUCAAGUUCGUGGUUUGGAUGCGAAAGACCAAGUAAAAAUGAUACUGGAAAGACUGUUUACCGUUGGACUUCUGUCCCAAUUUAACUUAGUGGAGACAAAAAGAAAGGACCGCGGUGGAAAUAAGAGGGGGUUGUAAGGAUCAGCCGUUUUUGAAUUAAUAGUCGAAGUCGCAGCCAGCUCGUAUAAAAAGACUUUUCGACGAGAAAUAGUUAAUUUUAUUCAGAGAAAGCUGAAGAACGCCCCUGAUCAAAUCAAGGGGUUGCGUGAACAACAACGCCAAGAAACAGAGGAGAAAGCUGAAGAAACAGAGGAAAAAGAGGAAAGUGAAAAUAAUGUGGAAUUUGGAGAUAAAUCUGCUGAUGACUCUUAAUUUAUUUAACUUAGUUUAACUUAAUUCAUUUAACUCUUAAUUUAAUUAAUAUAUUCUGCUGAACAAUACUGCUGUUUUAUU